AUAGCCUAACGGCUGAACCAGCAACUUGGAGGAAUGAAAAGCAAUAGCUGAUUGCAUUUAAUUUAAUGUAGUUACUACUUGGUAGUUUAAAUUUCGAGGUAGAAUUUUGAUGAUGACAUUAUCUAUCUAUUAGUCUUGACCAAAUUACGUGCCAGCAGUCGCGGUAAUACGUAGAAGACGAGUGUUAUUCAUCUUUAUUGGGUUUAAAGAGUACCAAGACGGUUAAUAAAGCCCAAAAGACAUGAAUACGGGGGACACAUUAACUAGAGUUAUAUGAAAGGAAGCUCUAAGGUACUGUUGAGUGUAGAGAUGAAAUUUUAUGAUACCAGAUGAUUGGCACAGAUUUAUGCGAAGGCAUCUUCUUAUGUAAUAACUGACGUUGUAGGACGAAGGCUUGGGAAGUGAACAGGAUUAGGUACCCCAGUAAUCUAGGCAGAAAAUGAUGAAUGUCAUAGGUUCGUUAAAUAGGACGGGUCUAUAAAUGAAAGUGUAAGCAUUCCACCUCAAGAGUAAUUUGGCAACAUUGGAACUGAAAUCAUUAGACCGUUUCUGAAACCAGUAGUGAAGUAUGUUGUUUAAUUAGAUGAUACACAAAAACCUUACCACAACUUGAAUAUAUAUAAAAUAUAUUUACAAGCGCUGCACGGCUGUCUACAGUUAAUGUCGUGAGACUUUGGUUAGCUCCAUUAAAUUGACUAAAACCCAAAUUAUAUUUAUAAAUAUAAUUAACAUCGCUAUAUAUGAUGUUUUAAGAGGGAACAUGACAAGUCAUCAUGGCCGAAAUUAUUGU
rnacentral:rRNA from 1 species